AGGAUUUGUGACCAGGGGGAUUAGCGCUGCUUUCCCAAGACAGGUUUUUAUGUGUAUGAUCUUCAGGCUUUGCCUAUCCAGGUUGGCUGGCCGGUGCUGACGGGACGGAGCUGAGGCUAGAGUUAAAUUCCUAUGUUAGACUUCCGCUGUAGCAAUUACUCAUAUCAGUCUUUUGUUUUCCCAACUUAAGAUCUUCAUGUUAAAUUUCAAAUGAUAUACCUGACCGAGCUUAGACUCUUCACUACUAAAUUUAUGCCAAUGAAUGUCGGUUGUCAGAAGCAUGAAACAAAACUUGUGAUCCAAAGGGGCAUAGCCCGACUUUCUAUCCUAUUUCGGGUUUUUACAAGGUUGUUCCUUGUUUAUUUCUAUGAAUUAGUUGCACCUCGAUUAUAUUUAUUCAUUCAAGAAUUGGGGUGUGA